rnacentral:rRNA from 1 species
GAUGAACGCUGGCGGCGUGCCUAAUACAUGCAAGUCGAGCGAAGCGGGGACGGGUGAGUAACACGUGGAUAACCUCCUAUAAGACUGGGAUAACUUCGGGAACCGGGAGCUAAACCGGAUACUAAUAGAUGGAUCAGCGCUGCAUUAGCUAGUUGGUAAGGUAACGGCUUACCAAGGCAACGAUGCAUAGCCGACCUGAGAGGGUGCUCGGCCACACUGUGACUGGGCCCCGGUCCAGACUCCUACGGGAGGCAGCAGUAGGGAAUCUUCCGCAAUGGGCGAAAGCCUGACGGAGCAACGCCGCGUGAGUGAUGAAGGUCUUCGGAUCGUAAAACUCUGUUAUUAGGGAGGCGGUACCUACUCAGAAAGCCACGGCUAACUCCGUGCCAGCAGCCGCGGUAAUUC